UUUGCAGACCUCAUUUUAGAGUUGGCAGUGGAGGCAAGGGUCUUUUGCUGGAGUUCCCUGGGUACCUGUGGCCUCCUCAAGAGCUACCUUCUCAAUGGACCCUGUGAACCACGCCUUGACCAAUGCCCGUGACCAGUGCUCCGUGAAGAGUUCUCACUGCGUGUUCCCAGUGUGCCCUGGAAUCAGCUCUGAGUACAGGACAGCUUGCUGAGGUUCUUUAUCUUCUCUCCUUGGACAAAGGUGUAGUAGCACGCAGGCUCUGCUAUAGGAAAUGGAGUGAUCAUACAGCUCUCUUCACUUCUCCUGGGUUUCCUAAGAUGAUUCAGUGGACUAAAAGGUUACUGCAGUAACAAUAGCCAUAUAUAAUAACACACACUUAUUUGUGCAGGUAGUAUAUUUAUACAAGUCUUAUUUUGAUAAGAAAGUCAUUCUUCCCAAGUGGUAAAACUAAUUUGAACUUUCUGUAAAAGAGCUCAGUGUAAAAGUUUUCAUAAGACUCUGCUACUCACUUUAUCAAUGAAAAACUUUUCUGCAACUAAAUAUGAUAUGUGUUUAGGGAAGAUGGUAGCUUAAAUAUCCAUCAGAAAUAAAAUACAUGGAAAGUUCUUAUGAACAAUUUGUAUUUUCCAGAAGUGAUAUCUAGUCUCUCACUUGAAAUAAUCUAGUGAAUGAGAUAGGACUCUGAUGCAAUUACUCAUACAGGCACUAAUGGUAUAUGAAUGUGUGCACAUAUCCACAUCUAGAGGGGUCCAAAAAAGGCAGCAUAGAAAAAAGAACGUGGGAGAUUUGCUGUAGUGAACUGUAGAUUGAUCAUUCUUUUCAAAAGCUGUCCUUUUAUUGAUGCUUGAUUUAAACCCGCUGUAUCUUUAUCGAGAUCUUCUGUCAAGGUUUGAGAUCUUUGUCUUUACACUUUUUACUUUAUUUUUAUUGAUAUAUAUCAUUUUAUCUAGUAUCUGAGCACAGAUUCCUUAGUUGUAAGUGACAAGUAUCUUAUUUGUAUUUCAUCCCUUAGGGAAGGAAGACUCUUUUAUUGCAGUCUCCCUAACCAUAGUAUUUCCCUUUUUCCACAAAUUUGCUCAGAGUCAGAAAUCACCUGCAGUUCAAGAAUACCCUGAUGCAUAUCCAGAGCUUAAAUAUUCCUGUAGAUAUCAGAGUAAUAUGCAAAUUUCAAGUAGCUUCUAUCUCAAAAUGAGAAUUGUCAUUUAUAAUUCCUCUCAUGAUUGUGAGAAUUAUCUUUAUCGGUGGGCUGAAAUGAGCAGUGGUUGCAUUCAGAAGUGUGAACACCUCAAAGGACACUGAAAAAGAGGGCCGUGUGUGUAUAUAUAUGUGUGUGUAUCUCAAGUGCUCUUUAUGACGGCAAAGGAAAAGGGAAUAAUGUCAGCAUCAAGAAUCUCGUAAGUUUGCACAACCUGAGUCUCUUAUAUCCUCACAGACUUGUAAGUUCUAAAAGGAGUAUAAAAUCUACCUACUCUAUUCAAACUGUUCUAAGUGGGAGGUGAAGAAAAAGUCUCCUUAUCCUAAAAAUUGAGUUGAACUCUGAGUGUAAAAAGGCAUGCAAACAAAUGCUGUUAAGCUCAAGCAGAAGAAGGGCAGACAUCCACAGCUGUUUAUACAAAGCCACAUAGUGAAAUAGGGUUUGUCUGUUAAAACCUAGAAAUUCCCAAUGAAGCUUUCAGUCCAUUCAGUGAAAUAAAGACCUGCAUUUCAGCUUCCUCCUAAGGCAAUGUAAAUGCCAAGCUCUUUAGAAGAUUUAGUAAGAGGAGAAAGGAAAUUCUUAAGGAGCCUUACUCAUUUCCUUUCUUUUGAAACUCAGGAGGUAUCUUUUCACUGUUGAAGCUGUAGAAGGAAAACAUGAUGUUGUAAAUUCUGUAUCCACGUUUCUUAUUAUGGUGCAGGCCUGUAAAGACUCCUGCGUGUACUAGGUGGCUUUAUCACUGACUGCUACUAGUUCUCUUUAACUGGACUAUAAACAGUUAAAUCUUGAAGAAAUGCUGUCAGCUGCUGUUAAUUUUUUAAAACUGCAUAUAUGCAAAACUGUGUUUACUUCCUAAGUGGAUCUGUCCACAGGUAGCUUUUAGUUUAGUAGUGUUCCAUGUCAUAUACCUACAAAAAAUAAGAAAAAGUAGUAUAUAAUAUUACACUGUAAUGUUUAAUCUUUUAAUGUACUACCCAUAAUGUCCUGAAAUCUUUUGGUUUGUCUGUGUUCUUCUUUGAAACUACUUCUAGCUGAGCCUUUGUGAUAUUACCCCGUCUCCAGGCUCAUCAUGACUAUGCAUUCUGUCAAUAAACUGCAAGAACAAUUUAGCAGUCCACAAACUAAAACUAUUAAAUUAAUUCAUUUGUUCUGCUUCUCUAUAUUUUUUGACACUAUUGUAAUCAGUUUUACACAGCUUUGA